rnacentral:lncRNA from 1 species
CUCCCAUUGCCUCUCUACUUUAUUCAUGUUUAAUGCAAUUUGUGUCUGAUUGAACCCGUACACCUUGUGCCUGCCCUGGAUUCAUCCUUCUCCAGAAGCACUUGCCACUGGGUCAACUCUUCCAGGACUGAUCCUGUUAAACAGCUGAAUUCCUGGAAAAUGGCCCUAAUCUUCCACUUUGAAGGACUCACCCCCAAAACACAGAGCAGAGCUUUCUGGAAUUCCUAUUGUGUGGUGAGUUCUCUAUGGAUGUUUUUUUGAAAUGAAUGAGUUGGAGUCUCUAGAAGAUUCUUCAGUCCCUUCUGAGUGAUUAGGGAAAAGUUGCAUUAGAAAAUGAGUUUUCCGAGGGCAUCUGGGUUGUUCAGUCAGUUGAGCAUCUGACUCUUGAUUUCAGGUCAUGAUUUCACAGUUUGUGGGAUCAAGCCCCACUUAGGAUUUUCUCUCUCCCCC